AUUGAACGCUGGCGGCAGGCCUAACACAUGCAAGUCGAACGAGUGGCGGACGGGUGAGUAAUGUCUGGGAAUCUGCCUGAUGGAGGGGGAUCACUACUGGAAACGGUAGCUAAUACCGCAUACCAUCGGAUGUGCCCAGGUGGGAUUAUCUUGUUGGUGGGGUAACGGCUCACCAAGGCGACGAUCCCUAGCUGGUCUGAGAGGAUGACCAGCAACACUGGAACUGAGACACGGGCCAGACUCCUACGGGAGGCAGCAGUGGGGAAUAUUGGACAAUGGGCGAAAGCCUGAUGCAGCCAUGCCGCGUGUAUGAAGAAGGCCUUCGGGGUGUAAAGGACUUUCAGCGGGGAGGCGUUACCCGCAGAAGAAGCACCGGCUAACUCCGUGCCAGCGGCCGCGGUAAUAC
rnacentral:rRNA from 1 species